AGUUGGUUUGGGUUUUUGCAAUUUCACAUAGCUUUGUCUGCAUGAAAAUCACAACUGUCUCCUCUGCAACAGGACUCUGACACGUGAAAGUUCACAGUGCUCAGAGAUGAGAAGUGACCUGACCCCGCUGUGCUGACAGAAGCCCAAGCUGAACCUGCAGCUGUCCCACAAAGCAGCUUUUGCACAUGCUGCACGAGGCAGGAGAGAGCAAAGCUGCCGCGCUGGCACAAAGCUUUGCUGCGGGAGCCGGGACCCCUCUGGAACAGCUCCGUGCGCGCUGCCAGCGGGAAUGAUGGCUCAGCAGUGCCCAGCACACGCAGCUCUGGAUACCAUAACUGGAAAGGAAAGUGAAGGAGAGUCAGUUUAUGGUCCUAGUUUUGAAGGCAGAGCUUGUGUUUUCCCUGUGCUACUCCGGAAAGAAGCUGCCAUGUCAUCUGGGAAGGGGACAAUACACCAAAAACUGCUUCAGUAAUUUUAAGGUGGGUUCCAUUUGGAAUUGGUCAGCCUUGAAUGUGUCCCUGCAAGAGUUUUGUUACCCAUAUUGCACAUAGUCCAUGUGUUGAUGCCUUAAAGGAGGAGAUUGCUACUUAUGUUCUCCCCCUCUU